rnacentral:rRNA from 1 species
GACGAACGCUGGCGGCGUGCUUAACACAUGCAAGUCGAACGGAAAGGCCCUGCUUUUGUGGGGUGCUCGAGUGGCGAACGGGUGAGUAACACGUGAGUAACCUGCCCUUGACUUUGGGAUAACUUCAGGAAACUGGGGCUAAUACCGGAUAGGUGCUCCUGCUGCAUGGUUGGGGUUGGAAAGUUUCGGCGGUUGGGGAUGGACUCGCGGCUUAUCAGCUUGUUGGUGGGGUAGUGGCUUACCAAGGCUUUGACGGGUAGCCGGCCUGAGAGGGUGACCGGCCACAUUGGGACUGAGAUACGGCCCAGACUCCUACGGGAGGCAGCAGUGGGGAAUAUUGCACAAUGGGCGGAAGCCUGAUGCAGCAACGCCGCGUGCGGGAUGACGGCCUUCGGGUUGUAAACCGCUUUCGCCUGUGACGAAGCGUGAGUGACGGUAAUGGGUAAAGAAGCACCGGCUAACUACGUG